CCUGAGAGGUUAAGGGGAGGGGCUUGCUUGCUUGCUUCUUCUGGAGCAGGGGAGAGAGAGGGCACUCGACCGCAAUUUGUAAGCAAUAAACAAGUUUUAAACUUUAUUUCUCCCUUUGACUGAUUUCGGUUUUUAGAGGUGUUUUGUCCCGGGAUUUCCUCUUCCCGGACUUACAGAAGCAUGAGAGAAAGAACAAGAGAAGUAGCAAGAGCAUAUGAGCACGUGUGAACAAAUCCACCUCGGUCAGUACAAGCGGCUAAAGGGCAUUUUGCUGUGAGAUCUUGCUACCCAGUGGUGGUGCACGCCCAGCCUGCCUGUCCGCCUGUGCCCUCUGAGGCUUUAUCUAGCGUCGCCUCAUGGACAAAGGAAUGAGACGGAGAACACAAAGCAAACAGUCUCCUCCCCGAGCCAGGCCUUCCCCAGGAGGACACCUGCCACAGCGGGGGGGUGUGGUUUCCAACUCUUCACCCAUCCCUUCCUUUCCCCAGGAAGGAUGAAUGCAAUUCCCCCAGGAAGGACUCUUCCAAAGGGAGUCACACUGCUCGAUUUCACAACUUUAAGCCAGGCAGUCCAAGGAGACUUCUUUCCCUGAGUAAGUAUCUCAACAAAUAACUUUUUCUACAUAGGCAACAUAUGGUCAAAACUAGUAUUAUGCACUUUGUUUGGAAAUAGACUUUGUAUAAGUGCAUCUAAAUGUAACUAUGGGAUGAAACACAUACCUUGGCAGGUGAAACUUGCCUGCAGUUUGUUUCAAAUGGUUUUCUUUUUACCAAUGCUUACAUUGUUUAAAGAGAGGCCCCCUCACCUCCAGUUAAAUAAUAACUGGGGUGUAGAGUUUUAAAAACUGGCUCUGAAUAUGGGGUGGUUAAAUAAAGCUAAAAAGUCCAUAAUUAACAAAACUAUUUCUUCAGUUUAAAAGUGCCACAUUUUUAUCUCUAAAAGAGAUAUUCUUCUCUGACUCUUCCUCAGCACCAUCCUCCCCCCAGCCCUCCCCAGUGGAAAAGCUGAUCGGUAGGUGGGGGGCGAAAGGUAUCUGAACUGAAGGGGCAAAGAAGGAAAUGAAAGUCUGCCCAAGAAAAAAAAUAAAACCUGGAAAAUAAUAGUUAUGAAGAACAUUAGAAUACCCACUUCCUAAUAUGGAACCCAAGAAAAAAAACAUGACUGUAAAAAUAGACAUGUUUUAAGAUUGCCCAGGGUUCAAAAGACAUUUUUAUCAGAAACACUGGAUAAUAAAAUUUCUUGGUGUUUUAGAUUUUAUUCUGUAACAUUCUUCACAUGCAGAACUAGGAACAAAGAAAUCUGGGCUAAUUAUGUUAGAUGGAGGCACCUUCCUGGAACCCUUUAUACUGAAAAACCAAGUCAGCUUCUUGAUUAUGUGUGAAUGUAUGAGAAAUUUCUUAAUUGUGAAUCAAAAAUGUUUGUGAAUAGUUAUGUAUAAGGUACCAGGCUAUGUACCAUGAAUAAGACCUAGUCUUACCUUUGAAUUACUUUAGUCCAUUAGAGAAGGAAUUAAAAGCACUCGAGAAGAUAUUUCAAGAAGGAUUUUUAAGAUCACAAGGCAGUGUCAAGAGGCACAACGUAAUUAAAAUUGCUAAAUGAAUUGUUCAGAGGCUAACUGAUACCAUGACUUCCAAGAAAGGCAGAUAAAAUCAGGUUGGGAGUAAUUUAAAAAGGAGGAGGAAUUUGAGAGUUGAAAGGAUAGAUAAGGUUUAGAUAAUUAUAUUACUGCUACUGCCCUCUAUCUCCAUUUGAGGGCCUGCUAGGGGCCAGGCUCACACCACAGUUGGUACUAUGCAUGCACCCUCUAGAGUGAAGUGAGUUUAUUGUCAUGAUUUUACAGAUGAGGAUGACAAAAAUCCUGCCCGAGGCCUCCCAGGAAGGAGGUGAGCAGAGGUACACGCCCAGCUCCAGCUGACCCCACAGCCUGCUAUGUUUCUUUCACACUGACUCCGAGGAGCGGAGAGUUCUGGGUGUUGCAAAAUACACUUUUCUAGAACAGUGGACUUAAAGAUUUGGGAAAAAAAAAAGAUUGGAGUUCACAGAAUAAGAAGAUGUCGUCGUGAAGCUUAGGCCAGACACCUGACAUAGUUAACCGAGCACUUUGGAUAGCUGGGGCUGGUGGGCAGGAAAACCAGAGAGCAAGAGACUCUGGUCGUUCUGCCCCGAUGUGGCAACACAGAGGCACACGGCACGGCUGGGUUGUGGAUGGCAGUUCAUAUUUCACGGCAGUAAAGAAGACACAAGUAUUGGAGCUGCACUUGGGUAUAACUCAUCCUGUUUCAAAAAUUACUAGUUGUGUGACUCUGGGCAAUGACUUAAAUUUCUGAGAGCUUCAGUCUCCUAACCUGUUAAGUCCAAUUCAUGGUAAGAACUGCACGAAGCUAAAAGAUUUAAAUAAGAAAAAGUAUAUAGUGCGCAGUGUGUGGUAAAUGCUCAAAUGUUCAUUUUAUUCCCUUUAUGAAGGCUGUGGAAAUGGAAAGGAAGGGAUGAGACAGAUGGUGGGAUAAAUUUUGUGAGAUCUGUGACCAAUUAGAUAUGGGGGGUGGGGUGGGGAGGAAGACGAGAGAGAGAUGCCAGACACGCAUUUGAAACAAACCUGCACACACACAAAAAUCUUAAUUUCCUCAAAUAGGAGUUAGGAGGUAGUUUUUAGGAAUAAGUGACCUUAAGGGUGACUAGGAGAUCCCCAGUUGAAAACACCCAGAAAAGAGUUAGAAAUGAGAUAGAGGGCUUAGGAAGAAAAGGGAAACCAGAAAAAAAUGAUUUGGCCAUCCUUUGCCUAAGAGCUUGGUUACUAUAAUAUUUCAUUUAAUGAGGGCCUGUGAAAUUGUUAAGUCUGUUUUCUUUGCAUGACUAUGCUUUAGAAAUCAAAGGAAUAUAUAGGAAGUUACAACAUUUUAAGAAACCAGACUCCACAUUUUUAAAGACAAAGAAUAUUAAAAGAAAAUAAUCUAUUUAAUACAGGACUUAAGAUCAAUUACAAUUCUGCAUCUCUCAAUUUUAAGACACAAUGAUUGCCUUAAUACCUGACUGAAUUUUAAAGUCUUUAUCACAAAUGUAAUCAUCCUCUAGAACAGGCUUUCCUUGUGGCAUAGAAGGCAUGGUAGUGUAAGGCAAUAAAACACAGAUUUCUAAAAGUAUGCGUACUUUGGAAAAUGCAACUGAAAUAGCAAUGGCUGGGAUAUGGAAUGAGACAGGAAGAAAGAGGCCAAGACAGAGGUGAUGUCAGUGUUACUCAGUCAUCAUGAAUGCAGGCCUGAUUACCUUGAGCCAUGAUGGAGAAUUUACUGACUUCUUAAGCUUGAUGAAUCCAGUCCCAUGCUUCUAAAAGUUUCUCAGAUAUUACAACUAAUUGUUCCAGGCACUGGAUUCAUUAUCUACGGCUGGUGAAAGCAGAUCUGGCAGCCCUGAGGACAUCUGGUUCUUUUGAUAUUUUACGGGAUGGCCUUUCCAUGCCUAUUAGUGGUCCCUGGGCAAGAUUGGCAGGUCCACCCAGAGUUCAUCAUCCACUGUAGAUGUUAAAAAUGUGAAACUUUCAAUAAUCCUCUGUGAUCCCCAACUUCAUGGUAUAUGAUAUUCUACCUGGUUUCUAAACUACAAUAAUAACCUUACCCCUAAUUACAUAAUCAACAGAUAAUCUGUUAAACUUGAUAGAGCCAAAGUAUAACUUUGGAACAUAUAAUGGAAAACCUGACAGACCUCAAAGAAAAAAUAGCCAAUCCACUAACAUAAUGAGAGCCCCAAAACAGCUCUCUCAGAAAAUGACAGGUCCAGGACAGAAGAAGUUAAGUAAGGAUACUGAUGAUUUAGAUAAUUAAAUGAUGUUGAUUUAAUUGAUAACUUCAUGCCCAACCAACAAAAACAUAAGCAUUAAGACAUGCAACAUUCACAAGUAAACAAUCUUUAUGGGAAGUACAUCUCUCUAGAUCACAUUUCUCACUCCUUUGGUAAAUUUCUGAUAUCAUCUUUGUCAUAUGCGGCUUCACAGAAAGCUUAUUUGUUAGGUGUGUUUUACCUUAUCUGACUUACUUUAUAACCUCUUCCAGGGAAGAAGCCUUGUCUUCUCACCUCUGCAUCCCUCAUAAUGCUUAGUGCUUUAUUCAAAGCAGACACCUAUUUAUGAAAUGAUCAUCCUGAAACAGAUCGCUUUUAACAAUGUAGUAACAACUUAUGCUAAGUUAUUUCAUAAUACUUCUCUUACAAGAAUGUGUUGCAUAAGGAGUCCUUCAGAAUCUAUCAAACAUUACUAGAUUGGAGGUAUUUUGAUAGUAGAAGAUCUAAGGAAACUUUCUUCCACAUUUGAAUUUCAAAUGGACUGAAUGCCAUCCUUUGCUGAUCCUUGAACCACUGGCUUAGCAAAACACUUCAAGAUGCCCCAUAAGUUUAUACAAGGUACCUACAGGUCAGUGUGAGGGGAGGGCAGAAGGUGAGGGCCACGCAGACUGCGAACCUGAGGCUGCCUCCAUUACUGGCCAUCCAGAUGGAGCAUAUGUGGCUCCUGUCAGGGCCUCAUGCACCAGCUGUCCUCUCUCCUGGCUCUUCCAGAAGGGACAAGUCACAAUUAUGGCUUCAAUUCAUCUAUAGUCCUUCCUAUUAUGAUAUCUGUACUUGUGCUGGCCACUUCCUCUUUUCCAUACUUGACUUUAAUCUGCAUUUACUAAACUACCUUCCUCAGAACAACAUAGUGAUAGGUUAAAAAACUAAAAGGAGGUCAGGGCGCUCUGGAGAGAGGGAGGAGGUAUUCCGUGUUUCAGUAAGUUUGGAAAGCCCUGACUGUAGCACCUCCUUGUUGAAGACAUACUGUUCAGGACAGCAUGAUUAAGCCUCUGCAGAAAGAAGGCUGUGCUUAAAUCCCAAACUUAUUUGACCAUGAAGCCCCCUCCCCCUCCUUGUUUUUGGCAGAAACCUGUUACCAUAACUCCACAAAACUGAGAACAUGUUGUCCUGAGAAUCCCCUAAUGCUCAAUGCCAGGAACAGGAACUAGUUCCUCAUUCCAAAGGUCAUCCCUGCAUAAGAAACAAGUACCCUUAAAAGGAAAAAAAAGUAUGUUCUUUUU